CGCGCGCGUGGAAGACGUUUUCCCGACUGGAUCUCGGCGUGAGGGGAUUGCGCUGAGCAGAACCAGUAAGAUGAGGAGCAGCAGGAAAACAGUCAAUCCCACAGAAACACCAACGACCAGAAGAGGAGAUGAAGAUGAAGCUGAGGAGAGAAGAUGACAGACCUGUUCAUCAACCACAUGCUGUAUGAUAAUAUUACAGAGAAAGCAGAAUGAAGGAGAGCUGAAGACCUCCAACUACAAGCUGAUAUGAGGAGCAGCUGAAUCUGAAUGAGCUUCAACACACUGAAGACUUCAGCAACUCAUUCAACAGCAGCAUCUAAAGCAGAAUGAAGAAGGAGAGCUGAAGACCUCCAACUACAAGCUGAUAUGAGGAGCAGCUGAAUCUGAAUGAGCUUCAACACACUGAAGACUUCAGCAACUCAUUUAACAGCAGCAUCUGCCUGCAUCAUUGUGAUCUAAUUUAAAGAUUGAAGAAACAUAUGGGAUGCAUUGAAACUUUUUCUCCCACUCCUACCUAAUCUAGCCGCUGUCUUUAUUUAAUUUUAUUUAUUAAUCAUUAAACCUCGAUAC
rnacentral:lncRNA from 1 species